GACGAACGCUGGCGGCGUGCUUAACACAUGCAAGUCGAACGGAAAGGCCCUGCUUUUGUGGGGUGCUCGAGUGGCGAACGGGUGAGUAACACGUGAGUAACCUGCCCUUGACUUUGGGAUAACUUCAGGCAACUGGGGCUAAUACCGGAUAGGAGCUCCUGCUGCAUGGUGGGGGUUGGAAAGUUUCGGCGGUUGGGGAUGGACUCGCGGCUUAUCAGCUUGUUGGUGGGGUAGUGGCUUACCAAGGCUUUGACGGGUAGCCGGCCUGAGAGGGUGACCGGCCACAUUGGGACUGAGAUACGGCCCAGACGCCUACGGGAGGCAGCAGUGGGGAAUAUGCCACAAUGGGGGGAAGCCUGAGGCAGAAACGCCGCGUGCGGGAUGACGGCCUUCGGGUUGUAAACCGCUUUCGCCUGUGACGAAGCGUGAGUGACGGUAAUGGGUAAAGAAGCACCGGCUAACUACGUG
rnacentral:rRNA from 1 species